ensembl:lncRNA
GACUAAAGCUAUUCCGCCACCACCACCCAUGGGCCUUCCACUGAUGCCCCUCAGUAACAUGGGAAGUCAAACAGGAAGUGCCAGCCCAGCUACUGGACCCCCAACCAACGGACCAACGGCUAACAUGUUCCGGAAAAGAGCAGGCAACUGCUUACAUCAGGGGUCUUGUUCACUAGGAACCCGGAACAGACACAUUGAUGUGAUGAACCCAGGUGGAUAUAAGCCUGGGGUGUCUGUCCCCCCACCAACCAUGUUGGCCCUUCUGACUCCUGUGGACAUGACAGGAAAUAUAUUCCACCCAGCCCAAGCCUUGAAAAAUGCAGGACAUUCGAACUAGUCCACAGAAACCAGAUAUACAAAACAGACAUACAGUGACAACAAAUAAAUGUUCCUUUAGCAUCAAAAUUACAUUCUCCUGUCGUCUGUUCCUUGCUUUUCCAUAAAGAUGCCUUUUCUUGUGUUUCUACCGUCUCCAACACCUUCCGUCCUACUGUGCCAAACCACUGAUAUGUCAAAUGAUUCAAAAUGGUAUCACCUUACAUUAGAUUUACUAUAUUAAAAAUACAGGCCCCACAGUAGGAACAAGUCAGUACACUGUUUUUGACUGAGAAUUAAAUAUCAAUAGACCAAUAAGGAACCCA